CAAUAGAUAAAAUACAAUUUGUAAAAAUGGUUGAGAUGGUUUACCAUUUUAGGGGAAAAAUUACAGCCGUUGAAUCCAUAUUUCCAUGAACUUGGCUUGCCGGUAAACCUUUUAAAUUUGCCGAAAAACUAAAAACAACGACAAAAAUUUACCCCAUCCCCCAACAGUGACACCUACCCCAUCAUCUCUAAUUUAAAUCAAG
rnacentral:lncRNA from 1 species